UCACUUUUAGACAACACUGACAGUUUUCCUUUUGAACUCAACCACGUGAUUGAAAUCACUGAUGUAAAUCUCACUACAGUGUGCUCCCCAGUUGAUUCUGGUUUCCAGUGCAAAUGUGAGGAGGAGCUUUCCUGGUCACUGGAGAGCUGCAGAAAGUAUAGCAACUGUAGCGCCAUCACUGCUAACACAUGUGGAUGCAUCAAUGCCAUUCCACCCAAUGGACCAUUCUGUGAACUAAACCCAGACUCAACUCCUUCUUCCACUGUGUCAACAAGUAUAUACUGG